GACGAACGCUGGCGGCGUGCUUAACACAUGCAAGUCGUACGGUAAGGCCCUUUCGGGGGUCCACGAGUGGCGAACGGGUGAGUAACACGUGAGUAACCUGCCCACAACUUUGGGAUAACGCUAGGAAACUGGUGCUAAUACUGGAUAUGUGCCCCUGCUGCAUGGUGGGGGUUGGAAAGCUCCGGCGGUUGUGGAUGGACUCGCGGCCUAUCAGCUUGUUGGUGGGGUAGUGGCCUACCAAGGCGGCGACGGGUAGCCGGCCUGAGAGGGUGACCGGCCACAGUGGGACUGAGAGACGGCCCAGACUCCUACGGGAGGCAGCAGUGGGGAAUAUUGCACAAUGGGCGCAAGCCUGAUGCAGCAACGCCGCGUGCGGGAUGACGGCCUUCGGGUUGUAAACCGCUUUCAGCAGGGACGAAGCUUUUUGUGACGGUACCUGCAGAAGAAGCACCGGCUAACUACGUG
rnacentral:rRNA from 1 species